UCCUCAGUUUUCAGCUCUUCCAAACUGCCCGAGUCCGAUUUGCUCCUAUCGGAGACGACGGUAAUACCGGAGAGCAGGAACCCUCCGCCUCCGCUCAUCGUCAGCUUCGGAUGACUUCGAUCUGAAAACGUAYGUGAAAACACUGACUAUGGAAUUCAUCACCCUUUUGAGGCUACAAAAUUAGRCAGCAAGACAUCCAAUUUAGUUUUAAGUUAUCACCCCAAUUGGGAAUUAAUAACAAGCGUAACACUUAGCUGCAUUUCUCUUCCACUCUGUUAGACUGUAUCUCACUUUAGGGGAGCUGCUAAAACAGCACAAUUAUUAGAUUUGUCAGUGUGCUGCCUUUUUAUUUCAUCAAGCAUUUUAACGAAAUGUUUUGACAGAAGCAAAUGGAGUUUUUCUACUCAAAGUGUUGCAGUGAAGCAUUCAAAUUCCUCAGAGUAUUUUCAUCUUGCUUUGUAUCAAUACAAAUUUAUAGGUAGUUUCACUCAAUUCCCCCAAAAUGUU